rnacentral:misc_RNA from 1 species
AAGCUUUUCAAAUGACUGCACAUUGUUUUCCCUCCUUUGCAUCCUCCUUGUGUGAAGUCUGUGAGCCUUCUCCCUUGGCCUAAAUACAUUAUAUGGAUUGGUAUCACUAACAGGUGGAGGAGGCUGCAAACGCCGAAGAAUAGGCUUCUGCCACCGUUCCCGCUUGUCUUUCCAGUAAGUAUAAAUUGACUGGAAAACUCCAUAUUUGAUUGUUAGAGAUUGCAAUGCCUCAACAGAAGCAUCGAAACUUAGAAGCACCGGGAUAGGUGAGUUAAGAGUAGGAGUAAUCACUCCUGCUCUUUCUCGGGCCUUGUGAUCUAACACCUCUAAUUUGUGCAGAAUGGUCUCCAACUU